UACGUAGGGGGCAAGCGUUGUCCGGAAUUAUUGGGCGUAAAGCGCGCGCAGGCGGUUCUUUAAGUCUGGUGUCUAAGUGCGGGGCUCAACCCCGUGUCGCACUGGAAACUGGGGAACUUGAGUGCAGAAGAGGAGAGCGGAAUUCCACGUGUAGCGGUGAAAUGCGUAGAGAUGUGGAGGAACACCAGUGGCGAAGGCGGCUCUCUGGACUGUACUGACGCUGAGACGCGAAAGCGUGGGGAGCGAACAGG
rnacentral:rRNA from 1 species